rnacentral:rRNA from 1 species
AGAAUCAACGCUGGCGGCGUGCCUAACACAUGCAAGUCGCACGAGAAAGGGACUUCGGUCCUGAGUACAGUGGCGCACGGGUGAGUAACACGUGAAUCAUCUACCUCCGAGUGGGGGAAUAACUGAGAGAAAUCUUAGCUAAUACCGCAUAACACUUACGAGUCAAAGCAGCAAUGCGCUUGGAGAGGAGUUCGCGGCAGAUUAGUUAGUUGGCGGGGUAAUGGCCCACCAAGACGAUGAUCUGUAUCCGGCCUGAGAGGGCGCACGGACACACUGGAACUGAAACACGGUCCAGACUCCUACGGGAGGCAGCAGUGGGGAAUUUUGCGCAAUGGGGGAAACCCUGACGCAGCAACGCCGCGUGGAGGAUGAAAUCCCUUGGGAUGUAAACUCCUUUCGAUAGGGAAGAUAAUGACGGUACCUAUAGAAGAAGCCCGGACUAACUUCGCGCCAGCAGCCGC